AUUUUGAUUUUUUUUAACAAACACCAAUUUCAAAAUUUAUCAACAUAUAUAGGUUUUCAAAUUGCUUUUGUAAAAAUAAAAACAUUAACAAACCCAGAUCCAAAAGCAUUACCAAACCCAGCCUACGUCUCCUUUCGUCUGUCGCUCUCCUCUUUCGGUUCUCCUUCUCCAGAAUCUGGAUGCAUGAAAAAUUGAUGUCUUCAAUUUUUGAUGAUACAGGUAUUUUCUCCAGAAUCCGGAUGCAUGUAAAAUUGAUGUCUUCAAUUUUUGAUGAUACAGGUAAUACCAGGCUUGGUUGCAGAAGCAUUAAUGGUUGCAGAAGCGAGAAGCAUGAUGUUGCUUUUCUUUUCUUUUGCAGGAGAAAUCGAAGCCAGGUACGAGUUUUGAUCUGUUGGUUUCGUUAUAGGUUUCACCCACAAUAGGAGAAAUCGAAGCCAUGUAAUUGUGAUCUGCUAUUCAAUCCCGGUGAAAAUCACUGUGUGCAUACACAGUCGGCAGUUGUAAUUAUGGCUUGCUCCACCUCUGUGAAGGAGUGCCAAAGGAAGUUCUCCUCUCAAUGAAUGCUACAAAGGCGUACAUCCGCCUUAGCAUACCUGAGGUUCAUGAAAUAAGAGGACUAUUGAUGUUGUUGCACAAAAUGAUAAUGGGAGUGCGAAAAACUGUGAUGAUAAAAAACAAUUUGAAUAUAAAAGCAUGACAGUGAAUGGACGGCACUGAGAACCAUGUAUAGUGGUUUAGUUAUUGAAGACUCGCAACUGGGCCGUACCUCAGUAACGAAAUGUUUGGUGCAUGACAAACUGUUAUGCAAAGAUCCUCAGUAUAGGCAGACGCAGUGGUUAGAUUUGAUGAAGGUUACUUCUGAUAACGAAGAACGGGAUUAUGAUUUAGCUAUUCGUGAUUGUUUAUAGAAUCAUUAUUUGUGAAAUCCGGGUUUUACGUCAGGUCCGUGUCCGUGUUUUGGUGAGUGGCGAGCUUCUCUUUUGGCAGUGUUUUCCUCGGCUCCGUCCGUUUCGAUAGCAUAUUGUUCUUACAAGGAGCUUGAUAGGAUUCUAGCUGAAGGUAGCAUUGGGAAUUGUCCAGCUGCAUUCUGCAACGAGUCUGUCAGACUAAUUGUCACUUUUAAAAGGGUUAUUGACGAGUUAGAUACCCAUGUGAGUGGAGCUUUCAAAUUCUGGUGGUAUGAUGCGAGAUGUCAGCUCCAAGGAUAACCUACUAAAUCUUCUCAGGGUAAGGAAGAUAACUGAUGCUCGGUUUUAUUACGAAGUAAGUAAAGAAGCUGCAGGACGGUCAAGUCUGAAAACUGAACAGUUGGUGGGUCAGUUGCCAAUAAUGAACAGCUGGUCGCCUCGCCCGAGUUGGUUUUCUCGGGUACCCAUCAUCAGGUAAAAAGUAUCAUCUUAUCAUGUUUAAAGAGCAAGGAUAUACCGUUAUUGAUCACCUGCUUCAAGAUUGUGAUGUACCUAUGAAAGUCCUACAAGCCAACCAAAGUUCCAUUCUUUCUGGUGGUGCAGAUUAGGCUUUUUCAGCUGGGAAUUGGGAACGCCUCACAAUCAGGCAUACUUACAGCUGGGAAACGGGGGUCCUUCCCCGAAGAUCUUGGGGUUUUCCUUUUUUACGGGUAAUCUAAAUUAAGGUAGUUGUGGUGUUACGAUGAGUGGCGACUGUAACCAAUGGAAUUGGUACAUUGAACUAGAAGUAUUGUAGGGGACGGUUUCAGCUUAGGUUGAGUUGCAGUUAACAGUGUUGAACUAAUUGAGUUGAACUUGGUUGUAAUGUUGCAAUGGAAAUAGUUUUUAGUGAAAGCUUGCAACUGCGGAUCAAGGUAAGCUGAAUUUGUAAUUAUGAUAGAAUAGUGAAGGUUAUUUGAAGUGAAUCAAUCAUUGAAAUGAUGAAAGUUAUAGAUUUAGUUUUGU